rnacentral:lncRNA from 1 species
UUAGGGUUUAGGAUUUGGAUUAGGGUUUGAUUUAGAGUUUAGGGUUUGGUUAGGGUUUGUUUUAGGAUUUAGGAUUUGAUCAAGAUUUAGGGUUUGGAUUAGGAUUUAGUUUAAGAUUUAAUUUAGGAUUUAGGAUUUAGAUAGGAUUUGAUUUAGGGUUUAGGGUUAAGUUAAGAUUUGGUUUAAGAUUUAGUUAGGAUUUGGUUUAGGGUUUAGGAUUUGGAUUAGGAUUUGGAUUAGGGUUUAAUUUAGGUUUUAGGAUUUAGUUUAGGUUUUAGGAUUUAGGAUUUAGAUUUAGGAUUUAGGAUUUAGGAUUUAGGGUUUGGAUUAGGGUUUGGUUUAAGAUUUGAAUUAGGGUUUGGUUUAGGAUUUGAAUUAGGGUUUGAUUUAGGGUUUAGGAUUUUAUUAGGAUUUAAGAUUCAAUUAAUUUGGCUUAAAUUUUGAAUGAAGUUCAAUAGGAUUUUAAUUAAAAUUAAAUUAAGAUUGAAUUGAGAUGUAUUUGAAUGACAUUUGUGUUCUUUCUAAUGUUUUUUUAAAAAUUCCUAUUGUUUGUUUGAAAUUUCUUUCAGAUUUUUUUAAAUUUGAUUAAGGUUGCUUAGCACUAUUAUAGUCUAAUUAGAGUAUUGUUAGUAUUCUAUUAGAAUUAGAAUUUUGUUAUUGCAAUUUCCAUUCUUCCUUCCUUAGCCAGGUGCCCGGAGCAUUCUCAAGCCAAACUUCACGUAUUACGACAUUGUAAUCCUAAAUCAAAUCCUAAACAAACUCUAAUCUCUUAACUAAAUCCUAACCAAAAUCUAAACUCUUAACCAAACCCUAA